GACGAACGCUGGCGGCGUGCUUAACACAUGCAAGUCGAACGGGUCUGCCCUGUUUUUUGCGGGGUGGGUCAGUGGCGAACGGGUGAGUAACACGUGAGUAACCUGCCCCUCACUUCUGGAUAACCGCUUGAAAGGGUGGCUAAUACGGGGUGUUCUGGCUGUGCCGCAUGGUGUGGCUGGGAAAGAUUCACUUUUGUGGUGUUUUGGUGGGGGAUGGGCUCGCGGCCUAUCAGCUUGUUGGUGGGGUGAUGGCCUGCCAAGGCUUUGACGGGUAGCCGGCCUGAGAGGGUGGGCGGUCACACUGGGACUGAGAUACGACCCAGACUCCUGCGGGAGGCAGCAGUGGGGGGUAUUGCACAAUGGGCGGAAGCCUGAUGCAGCGACGUCGCGUGAGGGAUGGAGGCCUUCGGGUUGUGAACCUCUUUCGCCGGUGAAGAAGGUCCUGCUCUUUGUGGUGGGGUUGACGGUAGCCGGGUUAUGAAGCGCCGGCUAACUACGUG
rnacentral:rRNA from 1 species